UUCAAGAGGGAGAAAUCUGACACCAUCCGUUGUUGUUCUCGAGAAGCUGAAAGAAAUAGAUCGUCUUUCUGUCAUCUGUUUAACCUUCAACGAUCAUGCUAAUAACUUUACCAGUCAGCAAACAACCCGAGUGCAUUGGAAUGAGUUUACAAUAUCCAAUGGAAGUUAUCUGGAAGCAUUUCAGCCACAUUCAAAUGUACCUAUAUGAAAUGAUGGAAAAGAGGAGCUGCAGCAGCGUGACAAGAGCGAUGGUGUGACGUGAAGCAAUCUCCAUCUAAUCCAAACCAAUACAGCUACAACCUAGGUACCUGACACAUGGAAGAUAUUGAAUUUUAGUCAAUUUUUAAAAUGAAAUCUUCAUAUUUUCCUAAGCGGGAAGCAACUGUGACCACCUAAAACCUAAGAUCCUGCUCCCGCCUUUGUUUCAAGUUAAUAUGCAUCAUCACAGAUCCUCACAGGAGGUAAGAGGCUCCAUACCAGCUAUGAACUGACUGCCCAGAGAAGUCUUCCAUCUAUUGACUCCUCUGUGAAAUCCUCUGAAAUAUGAACUUUCAUUUUU